UAGACACGACUAUAUUCAUCAAGUAGUUUCUUGUCCAGGUCUAGUGUGUUGAUGAACAGUAUCAGUACUUAGCACUUGCUUAAAUACACGAGCGAGGAGUCCGACGCACUUCACAACUCGAUCAUGCCGUCUUCAACCCACGCUCUGUUCAUUGCCUACCCGGCGCAGGGCCACGUCCUCCCACUGCUCGAGCUCGCGCACCGCUUCGCCGACCAUGGCUUCGCCGUCACUUUCGUCAACACGGACCACAUCCACGGCCAGCUCGUAGCCGCGUCGCCAGAGCUGGAGGCAGCAGGACAACAAGAUGACGGAGCGCCACCACCUGAAUCAGGCCAGGUGCGCUUCGUCUCUGUCUCCGACGGCAUCCCACCGGACGUCGACCGAAACAACCUCGGCACGCUAACCAGCGCGCUAAUGAGCUCCCUGCCGCCGGCCGUCGAGCACAUGAUCCAGAACGGCAACUUCCGCUGCAUGGUCGUCGACUACGCCGUGGCAUGGGUGCUCGGCGUCGCCAAGAAGUCCGGCAUGCGCACGGCGACGCUUUGGCCGUCGUGCGCCGCCGUGAUGGCAGCAGCGUUACACUUGCCGGAGCUCAUCGCUGACGGCAUCCUCGACAAGGAUGGUUUACCGACGAGCAAACAGAUACCUCCGGUAGGUGAGCUGCAGAUGAACCUGGCACCGCUGGCCUGGAACGCCGCCGGCACGGAGGAUGCGCAGAGGCAGAUAUUCCGGUGCCUCAGCAACAGCCUCAAGGCGCUUGGGCAGGGCACCGUCGACCUCCUGCUGUGCAACACUGUCAAGGAGCUCGAGGAGGGCGUCUUGUCCGAGCACCCCAGACCCAGCAUCCUCCCCAUCGGGCCAUUGCCGACGGGCCUCCGUGCCGGAAAGCCUGUCGGGAAUUUCUGGGUAGAGGACGACACCUGCCUGUCAUGGCUGGACGAGCAGCCUGACAAGUCAGUUGUCUACGUGGCGUUUGGUAGCAUGGCUGUGCUCGACCAGAACCAGUUCCAUGAGCUAGCUCAUGGACUGGAGCUGUCAGGCAGACAUUUCCUUUGGGUCGUCCGUCCUGGCCUGGCCAAUGCCGUCGAUUUUCCUGACGGAUUCCUGGAGAGCGUCGAGAAAAGGGGUAAGAUUGUGACAUGGUCACCUCAGCACAGUGUUCUUGCCCACCCGGCGAUCGCCUGCUUCGUGUCGCACUGUGGGUGGAACUCGGUGAUGGAGGGGGUGAGGAACGGGCUGCCGUUCCUCACCUGGCCGUACUUCUGCGACCAGUUCAUCAACGAGAGCUACGUCUGCGACGUCUGGAAGACCGGCCUGCGUCUGGUGAAGGACGCCGCCGGCGGCGUGGUGACGAGGGAGCACAUCGCUGCGCGCAUAGAGAAGUUGUUGAAUGAUUCGGCGACCGUGUCUAGGGCGUCGGAGCUGCAGCAGGUUGCGUCCAGGAGCAUCGGCAAAGAUGGCACGUCGUUCAACAAUCUGACGGAUGUUAUUAACGCCAUGAAAGGCUGAUGAGACAAGAUGAACUCAUCAUCACUACUACAGAAUUGAUUUGUAAGAGCCAAGGGGUUUUCACUGUAAGGGCGGCCGGUGAUGCAACCGCCCUUACAGUGCAUUUUCCAUCAGCACUAGGCUAGUUGAUCACGAGCCGCCCUUACAAAUACCACAGUAAGGACGGCUGGUAACACGAGCCGCCCUUACAAAUGAUUGCAUUUGUAAGGGCUGUUGUUGAUCCAGCCGCCCUUACUGUGGGAUUUGUAAGGGCGGUUCGUGAUCCAGCCGCCCUUACAAACUUAUUUCUAAGGGCGGUUGGUGAUUCAGCCGCCCUUACAAAUCACGACUGUAUAUAUGGCUGCAGCCUUCUUCCUCCUCGGGUCACUCACUCCAACCCGAGGAGAUAAGGUUGGGAGGCCUUGGGCACCUCCUAAAAAUUGCUCUAGUGAGGGGAGGAGGUUUUGGUCUCAGAAACUAUCAUGGGGAGCUUAGAAAAGACGGAGUACAGGAACUCUUGGAUGUAUGGUUGGUCAAGGAUUGAUGAAGGUUUUCGCGAUGAGGUGGAUAAAUUUAUUGAAGCCGCAGAGAAGCAUGCAUUAACGUUGACACAUUAUAAGGAUACAAUUAUUUGUCCCUGCAAAGAUUGCAAGAACCUUAUGGCAUUUGCAGAUCUGAAUACCAUUAGAUCACCUCUGAUUAUGCGAGGAUUUGUUCCGAACUACACAGUGUGGACUCAUCAUGGCGAAACAACGGUUAUUGAUGAUGGCAACUUUGAUCUAGGAGAUGCCGCCGAAGCCGAGAGGUAUAUGCACCAAUACACAACUGAGCUUGAAGAAGAAAUGGGCUAUGACUAUGGCAAUGGACAAGGUGGUCAGUACUUUGGCAAUCAAGAUGGUGCUAAUGAUGCUGCUGAUGUCGGCACUGAUGGAGGAGCACGCGAGGGGGAUGAAGAUGACUUUGACAAUUUAGAGGACAUGAUUCGGGCGAUUGGACCAGAAAUAUUACUGCGGAAUAAAGGUGUAGAAAAUGUAGAGAGGGUGAAAAAAGCAUCGAUGGAGACUGUGUACAGUGUUGAGAAGGGUUGUCCGACCCAUUGGACACUGCUCCGUUUUGUGCUUGAGCUACUCAUCUUGAAGGCAAAGUACGGCUGAUCUGACUGCAGUUUCAAUGAUCUGUUGGGUCUCUUAUCAUGGGUGUUGCCACAGCCAAACUUAGUUCCCACCAACACAUAUCAUGCGAAGAAGGUUAUAAGUCCAUUAUCAAUGGGUGUUGAGAAAAUAGAUGCAUGCCCCAACCAUUGUAUCCUUUUUCGUGGUGAUACGUUCAAAGAUCUAGAUAAAUGUCCGCGGUGUGGGGCCAGCCGGUACAAGAACAAUGACCUUUACAGUGGCGGAGAAUCCUGCACCGGGAACAAGAGGAACAAGAAGGGGGCAAAAAAGGUGGUACAAGAAUCUCAACCACUAGAGGACACUACAUUAGGCAACGAUGCAAAGAAGAGAAAAAUUCCCGCCUUGGUAAUGUGGUACCUGCCAGUGACCGACCGCUUGAGGCGUAUCUUCAUGAACCCUAAGGAAGCAGCGCUCAUGACAUGGUGGGACAUUGAGCGCAACGUCGAUGACGAUGUCAUUGCACACCCGGCCGAUGCUAGUCAGUGUCAGGACUUCGAUAUGAACAACCCGUUGUUCAGCUCGGACCCAAGGAAUGUACGAUUCGCCUUGAGCACCGAUGGAAUGAAUCCCUUCAAUGAGAGGAACAGUGACCACAGCACUUGGCCAGUGAUCUUGAGCAUGUACAACAUCCCAGCAUGGUUGUGUCAGAAGAGAAAGUACCUUUUCCUCACUGUUCUAGUUUCUGGCCCUCGACAACCAGGCUUCGAUAUGGACGUGUUCCUCGAGCCUGUGAUGCAAGAAUUCGAGAAACUGUGGAGGACUGGGGAGCUGAUGUAUGAUGCAUUACGACACGAGACCUUCACAUUAAGGGCAAUAAUAAUUGUGACUAUCAACGAUCACCCAGCGUUGUUUGCCUUGUCUGGACAGUUCAAAGGCAAGAUGGGAUGCUUGGUCUGUCUGGAUGAUACUAGGUGGGUGUUUCUAGAUGGAUCCAAGAAGAGUGUUUACAUCGGGAAUCGUCGUUUCUUAAAGGAAGGUCACAGGUACCGCAGUAAACUGUACUUAAAGUACUUUGACAACAUCCCAGAGUACGUAGAACGACCUCCAGAGAGACGUCAUGAUGGAAAAUAUGUGUAUGAAAUGGUGAAAACCAUACGCAUCAUCUAUGGAAAGAAGAAAAUGGAUGGAACGACUAGAGAUAGAAGCACACCUCCUAUCGAAGGGGUACCUUUUAAGAAACAAUCGAUCUUCUUUCAGUAUCUGCCAUAUUGGCCGCAAUUGGAGGUCCCCCAUGCCAUUGAUUCUAUGCACGUUCAAAAGAAUGUCUUUGAGAGUCUCAUUGCUACAUUGAUGGACACACCCAAGUCAAAGGAUGGACUGAAAGCACGAAGGGACAUGGAGCAACUAAAGGUGAUGCCAGAGCUUCAACCAGUACGCCAGGAUAAUGGGAAAUACACUCUGCCCGCAGCUGCCUAUAACCUAGACCUAGAAGAGAGGAGAGAUUUAUGCAACUUUAUGAGGCAGAUCAAAGUGUCGACUGGGUUUUCAGCAAACCCAAAGAAGCUAGUGUCGAUGAAGGACCUAUCAUUUCACUACUGCAAAGCUCACGAUUGUCAUAUGAUGCUAACAAUGUACCUACCAAUUGCAAUUAGGGCUAUAAAGCCAGAGUUUUUGAAAAUGGCCAUCACCCGCAUGUGUUACUUCUGGUCAAAGAUCUCAUAGAAGACGAUUCGCAGGGAAGAGCUGAGAGACCUACAUGAUUUCGUGGUGGAGACCCAGAACCAACUAGAGAUGUGUUUACCUCCUGCUUUUUUUGAUAUAAUGGUACAUCUUAUGAUUCACAUGGUUCAUCAGAUUGAGGCAUUGGGACCUUGUUACUUGCAUGAAAUGUGGUCCUAUGAGCGGUUCAUGUCGGUCCUAAGCCGUUACGUGCAUAAUCGAGCACACCCAGAGGGCUCCAUGAUAGAGGGUUAUAGUACUGAAGAGGUCAUCGAGUGCUGUCAAGAGUUCCUAAAAGUACAGAGAGGGAUUGGCAAUCCUAAUUCUCGUCACAAGGGUAGGGUGGCUGGGAAGGGCACAUGUGGUGGAAAAACAUUCAUCGACAAUGAUUUUACAGAGGUCAGUCGAGCGCAUUACUGUGUCUUGCAGAGCACAAAACUGAUGCAACCGUACGUUGACGAACACUUGGCUAUCAUUAUGGAGGAGAGGAAUGGUCGUUCAGAUGAUUGGGUCAUGAAACAGCACAAGCAACGCCUAACUUCAUGGCUGAAGGACCAGAACAUACCACCUGGAGAAAGUGCAAAUUCGAUUGUCAUUAGUAAGUUGGCAAGGGGGCCAUCGAGACAAGUGAUGUCUUGGAAUGCUUAUGAAAUCAAUGGGUACACAUACUACACCCACACAAAGGAUAGUAAAAGUGUGAACCAGAACAGUGGUGUUCGAUGUGAGGCGGUCGACGGGCACGGGAGAAAGGUCCCUUACUUUGGCAUAAUUGAAGAUAUAUGGGAGCUUGAGUAUGGAAGGGAUCUAAAGAUCGCCCUAUUUCGAUGUCGCUGGAUCAAGCAACAUAAUGUAAAUGAGAUUGGGUUGACAGUCCUAGAUCUACAGAACAUAGGAUACCAAGAUGACCCUUGGGUGCUCGCUUCAAGUGUCGCACAAGUUUUCUAUUUGCCAGACCCGCUAAGUAUCCGCCCCCCGAGGAAGAAGAUAAUGCAUGUGGUUGUCCCUGGGAAACAACACCUUAUCGGAGUUGAUGGAGUGGAUGAUGUUGAAGCUCACAAUAACUACGAAGAGAUGCAUUUGUUUUCUGACUUUAGUAGGAAAAUCAGUGU